AUGUAAAUCUACAGAAAAUCUAUUUGACUUGCUGCUACCACUAGAUGUCGCUGUGGGUGGAGUUCUGAAUAAUAGGGAGGGAGAGAAAGAUGGGGCUUAGCGUAAAGGGUGGAAUAUACUGGUCACUAAUGCAGAGAUUUCUCAGAGUAAAACAUCCUUUCAGCCUGGGUUACUCCCCACCUGUGCAAUGCACAGGAAAGUAAAAUCAGUGACACUAAAAUGAAGUAGCAGCAACAUUCCGAGGGAAGAUAUUUCUGGGGCAUUUUAUUUUAGGGAGAAUACAAACGUUCAUUUUUUGAUCAUGUUGUUCAACCAGCUCUAAAACGUACUAAGUUGUCGGAAGUCCGCAGUUUGUGCAAGAGAAACAGUUUUCUAAGGGGCUAGUCUGAGACUCCCAGGAACUAAGGACCAUCCCAAACCUCACCAUCUUCCCAUUGAAGUGCUAGGCACACAUGUCCAACCUGCUUUCUUUAAUGUAAACACAGUCGCACAGAUCUCUUCAAAAAAAAAAAAAACACAAAAAC